GGACUGCCUCCUAUUCAAAUUCUUGCAACUUACAAUUAUGUUUUGUUUGAAAGCUACUUACUGUAAAGUAGUAUAUGUGCUAGCAUUUCAGUAUAGCUUCCAAAAAUAUGUGGUUCAAGUUCUCAAUUUGUUUAGAAGAAGAUAGGACAGGAAAUCUUGAAUGGAAAGCUCAUAUGAGUGUGGAUGGUUUGAGUAAAUUGGUGACUGGUGGAGAUCAUUCAUGUUGAUUAUUUUUGACAAUAAUGAUAGGUCCACUAGAGAAUUUGCGGAUAACUUUUUAAGUAAAAAGAUAAUCUUUAUAUGGACACUUGGACUAUAAACAUUUGCUAUAGUUCACCUUUAAUAACUUUGUAAGUACAGAGAUAUCACCUAAAUGUAAUAUGUAACUAUGUGUUGCAAUCUGAGCAAUGGGUGUGUAAAUUGUAGUCUCUACAUGCACAGUCGAGAUGUGUUCAGUCCAACCCCAUGGCAUCAGGGAGGUCGAGUUCAUCGCGAGCAGCAGUACAUGGUUGUCGGCUUCAACUUUCUUCCACCAAGGUGCUUUCACUCGGUGAUGCAAGGAUGCCCGAACUGAAGCAUGUCGGCAAGCCAGGCGUUGGGCUAACCAUUGUCGUCUGUCUACCUCCUUCCCCGUGCAGAGAAGUUACCCAGUUGUGGGCUGACUUGGAGGCUCCUUCUCCACGUCGACACAAUUGCAGGACCAAUGUGCUACUGACCGCGCAAGCUUUCUCAAGGAGCUCGUGUCCAACGAUACUGAAAGGAAAAUGGAGUGAAAGUGCUACUGCACCAGUUUUGAACUUCUUAUUCAGUCAUGCUAUUACUGAGUGAAAAAUGGAGUGAAAGUGUAUUGCAAUUGAUCUCUCUUAGACCCCUGGCAAUCCUCUAUUUAUCCUUUGUUUGUUUGUUUUUUGGUCUGUAAUUCAAGAACUUUGACCUUCGUAAUUCGGUUUUUGGUUAAUUUAUUAUGCCCGUUACAAACCUUUAAAUCUGAAGAGGCUUCUA